CUACGUGCCAGCAGCCGCGGUAAUACGGAAGGUCCAGGCGUUAUCCGGAUUUAUUGGGUUUAAAGGGUGCGUAGGCCGUUUGAUAAGCGUGCUGUGAAAUAUAGUGGCUCAACCUCUAUCGUGCAGCGCGAACUGUCGAACUUGAGUGCGUAGUAGGUAGGCGGAAUUCGUGGUGUAGCGGUGAAAUGCUUAGAUAUCACGAAGAACUCCGAUUGCGAAGGCAGCUUACCGUAACGUUACUGACGCUGAAGCACGAAAGCGUGGGUAUCAAACAGGAUUAGAUACCCUGGUAGUCCACGCAGUAAACGAUGAUAACUGGGCGUAUGCGAUAUACAGUAUGCUCCUAAGCGAAAGCGUUAAGUUAUCCACCUGGGGAGUACGCCGGCAACGGUGAAACUCAAAGGAAUUGACGGGGGCCCGCACAAGCGGAGGAACAUGUGGUUUAAUUCGAUGAUACGCGAGGAACCUUACCCGGGAUUGAA
rnacentral:rRNA from 1 species